rnacentral:rRNA from 1 species
UUCCAGACUCCUACGGGAGGCAGCAGUGGGAAUAUUGCACAAUGGGGGAAACCCUGAUGCAGCGACGCCGCGUGAGUGAAGAAGUAUUUCGGUAUGUAAAGCUCUAUCAGCAGGGAAGAAAAUGACGGUACCUGAUUAAGAAGCCCCGGCUAACUACGUGCCAGCAGCCGCGGUAAUACGUAGGGGGCGAGCGUUAUCCGGAUUUACUGGGUGUAAAGGGAGCGUAGACGGCCAUGCAAGCUCGGUGUGAAAGGUGCGGGCACAACCCGCAGACUGCACUGAGAACUGUAUGGCUGGAGUGCCGGAGGGGCAGGCGGAAUUCCUGGUGUAGCGGUGAAAUGCGUAGAUAUUAGGAGGAACACCAGUGGCGAAGGCGGCUUACUGGACUGUAACUGACGUUGAGGCUCGAAAGCGUGGGGAGCAAACAGGAUUAGAUACCCGUGUA